rnacentral:rRNA from 1 species
UGGGGAAUAUUGCACAAUGGGCGAAAGCCUGAUCCAGCCAUGCCGCGUGUGUGAAGAAGGUCUUCGGAUUGUAAAGCACUUUAAGUUGGGAGGAAGGGCAUUAACCUAAUACGUUAGUGUUUUGACGUUACCGACAGACUAAGCACCGGCUAACUCUGUGCCAGCAGCCGCGGUAAUACAGAGGGUGCAAGCGUUAAUCGGAAUUACUGGGCGUAAAGCGCGCGUAGGUGGUUUGUUAAGUUGGAUGUGAAAUCCCCGGGCUCAACCUGGGAACUGCAUUCAAAACUGACUGACUAGAGUAUGGUAGAGGGUGGUGGAAUUUCCUGUGUAGCGGUGAAAUGCGUAGAUAUAGGAAGGAACACCAGUGGCGAAGGCGACCACCUGGACUAAUACUGACACUGAGGUGCGAAAGCGUGGGGAGCAAACA